rnacentral:rRNA from 1 species
CCCCGUCGUUGAAGCGGGUUGGAACCACCUCUUCUCAUUCCGAACAGAGUCGUGAAACGGCCCAGCGGUGAUGAUAGUUGUCCGGAGACGGACUGCGAAAGUAGCUCACGGCGGGGA